rnacentral:rRNA from 1 species
AUUGAACGCUGGCGGCAGGCCUAACACAUGCAAGUCGAACGAGUGGAGGACGGGCGAGUAAUGUCUGGGAAACUGCCUAACCGAGGGGGAUAACGACUGGAAACGGUAGCUAAUAACGCAUACGAUCGGAUGUGCCCAUAUGGGAUGAGCUAGUAGGUGGGGUAAAGGCUCACCGAGGCGACGAUCCCUAGCGGGCAUGAGAGGAUGACCAGCCACACUGGAACUGAGACACGGGCCAGACUCCUACGGGAGGCAGCAGUGGGGAAUCUUGCGCAAUGGCCGAAAGUCGGAUGCAGCCACGCCGCGUGUGUGAAGAAGGUUUUCGGGUUGUAAAGUUCUUUCAUGGGGGAAGCGUUACCCGCAUAAGAAGCACCGGCUAACUCCGUGCCAGCAGCCGCGGUAAUUC